rnacentral:lncRNA from 1 species
GCACAUCUAUAAAAUUUAAACACUGGAAUACAAAUAAUAAUGCGUGAUCAAGGAGGAAAUGAUAAUUACUCCAAACCUGUAUGGAGUAUUAAUUAGUACUAGUGCCAGUAUAUAUUUGUAAGUACGUAGUAGUAGCAAGUUUAAUUAUCUGCACUUCAACGCACCUAGUUAUAAUACUAGCUACCAACCUUCUUCUUCUUCAUUUCAG